rnacentral:misc_RNA from 1 species
CAACCCUCAAGCCCCAGCGGCCUGGUGUUGGGGACCGGCGACCUCGCUGACGCCCUUCUUGGGCCCAGCGUCCGCCGCCCCCGAAAUGAAUUGGCGGUCUCGUCGCGGCCUCCUCUGCGUAGUAGCACAGCCUCGCAACAGGAGCGCGACGCGGCCACUGCCGUAAAACGCCCAACUUUUUUAG